rnacentral:rRNA from 1 species
AUUUAUUGAAGGGCCGCAGUAUUCUGACUGUGCAAAGGUAGCAUAAUCAUUAGUCUUUUAAUUGAGGGCUUGUAUGAAUGAUUGGACGAGAUAUAAACUGUCUCAAUUGAUGAUUUAGAAUUUUAUUUUUUAGUUAAAAAGCUAAAAUUUAUUUAAAAGACGAGAAGACCCUAUAGAUCUUUAUAAUAAAAUUAAUUUAGUAUUAUUUGGUUAAUUUUUAUCUAUAUUAAUUUUAUUAUUAUAUUGGGGUGAUAUUGAAAUUUAUGAAACUUUCAAUUAUUAUUUACAUUAAUUUAUGAAUUAUUGAUCCAGUAUUAUUGAUUAAAAAUUUAAGUUACCUUAGGGAUAACAGCGUAAUUAUUUUGGAGAGUUCUUAUCGAUAAAAUAGAUUGCGACCUCGAUGUUGGAUUAAGAUUAAUUCUAGGCGCAGUAGUUUAGAAUAUUAAGUCUGUUCGACUUUUAAUUUCUUACAUGAU